AUAUAAAGACGCAUCUGUUACCGCACUACUGUAUUACUAAAAGAGUCUUAACACUGUUUAUUAUAAACUAGUAUAAUAAUAAUUGUUUAAUUACGUUGAACUACAAAGAUAUUUACAAUGGAUCUAUCAAGAAUCAAUGCCGUUAGCCGUUUGAAUCACAUUUUACCAACCAUAAAAAUGACUGAUUUAGAGGAAAACAAGGAAUACAAGGUUUCAUCAAUUCGCUUGGUGGACAACGCUAAAUGUAAAACCGUGGUGGCUUCUUUAAACGACGAAAACAACAUUUUCCUACCUACAAGAACAGCCAAAAUUUUGAUGGAAAACCCUGAGCAGAUUGAGUUAAUGAACACCGCUGCUAUGGCCAAUAAACUAUACAUAUUUUACAUUGGUACGCAAUACUGUAAAUUUGAAUUUAUAUCAAAAGAAUCUUCUUAAAUAAUAUUAUUGCUUAAUAUUAUAUUGUAGUAAUUGCUGUAAUAAUUAUUAUUUAUUAGUUGAUAAAUAAUAAACAUAAUAAAAUGUAUUUCAUAAGUUAUUUAAAAAUACCCUAAA